rnacentral:rRNA from 1 species
AUGAAUCAAGUUGGCCAGCGGCCACCACCGCCGGUGCCGGAGCCACGCCCACCGCCGCCGACAGGGAGCUGGAUCAGGAUCUUGCGCUCGGUGGCCUCUUCAUUGGGCUUAUCUCUCCGCUCUCUCAUGGUGCUACUUUGGCGCGCAUGCCGCUUACCGGCGGGCCAAGACGAGGAGGAGCGCAAUGAUGCCAAGAACAAGAACGAGACAGGCGGCCAAGAUGAUGAGGAUCGCCUGAAGAAGACGGAGAUUGCCGCCAGGAAACGAGCAAGGCAGAAGGCCAAGAAAGCGGCCAGAAAGGAGGCCAAGGCGAAGGCCAAGAAGACCAAGAAGGAGGCCAAGGCGGAGGACAAGAAGAAGAGGCAGGAGGAGGAGGCCAUGAAGAGGAAAGAAGAGGAGGAGGCGGCCAAGGAGGAGGCCAGGAUCAGGGAAGAAGAGCAGAAGGCAGCCAAGGAGAAGGCCAGGCAGAAGCUUGCCGAGGACAAGAAAAAGGCUGACCUGGAGGAGGCCAAGAGACGGCAGCGGGAGGACGCCGAGCGGAGGAAGGAGGAGGCCAGGAUGGAGGAGGAGGACAGGCAAAGGAGGCGGGAGGAGGCCCAGAGGAGGAAGGAGGCGGACAGGAACAAGGAUGAGCAUGAGGAUGAGAAGGAUGUUCACAUUAGUUACUGGUCUCAAAAUCACAACAAGCGCAAGAAGCAGUGCCUAGGCAACAUUCCAGACGAGAUUGAUCGCCAUAACAACAAGUUUCACAAGGGAGUUGAGAUGCGAAGUUGCAGGAAGAAGGGCUGCCUUGUUAGAGCCAAUAAGAGGGACAUCCAGGUCCAUGAGUACUACUGUCAUGGUUUGAGCAAAUGA